GGAGAUCUUGCCUAGCCAGAGAAGCAGAGGAGUUCUCAUGGAGUUUAAGCUAAAGCCACAACAACAGACAGAUGGUGUCCAAUCCCAGCAUGAACAGGGACAGCUACCUCUUCAGUUCGUGCUUGGACUCUAUGAAGCAGAGCAGCACCUCCUCAUUCAUGUAUGUCACAGAAAUAUCUUCUGAACUGGUGGAGGUGAUGCAGUGGAAAACCAUUCCCUAGGUUCUGCACAAAUUAGGAGCACCUGAGUGGAAGCUGAACAAGGUGAAAUCUUAACAAAGGGCAGCUCACAGACCCAGCAUAUGAGUGAGUGGAAAUUCUCCCACCACACCUCCUGCACCUCCGCAGACCUCCCUACCUCUAAUCGGUAAAAGUUGCUGCCUAUUUACACUGGACCCAUGCAUAGAUGUCAAUGAUAGAGUGCCACGGACUCAAGGUUAAAAGGAAAAAGCCACCAAACCUUGACUUCUAACCAUGUCUGUAAGUUGAUCCAUCAAGCGUUGUUGGAAAAAUGAUCUCUCUCCUUCCCCAGUGAUGAGAGGCUCUGCCAAGCCAACUCCGGUACUGGAUCUCCUGUGGGAGAAAUAUCCAGAGCUGUAAGCGGGAAGAAAUAUCCAGAGCUUCACAGUAGAGGCAGCAGAGGAGUCUCAUGGC